rnacentral:rRNA from 1 species
AUUGAACGCUGGCGGAAUGCUUUACACAUGCAAGUCGAACGGCAGCACGGGGCAACCUGGUGGCGAGUGGCGAACGGGUGAGUAAUACAUCGGAACGUGCCCAAUCGUGGGGGAUAACGUAGCGAAAGUUACGCUAAUACCGCAUACGAUCUACGGAUGAAAGCGGGGGAUCGCAAGACCUCGCGCGAAUGGAGCGGCCGAUGUCAGAUUAGGUAGUUGGUGGGGUAAAGGCUCACCAAGCCAACGAUCUGUAGCUGGUCUGAGAGGACGACCAGCCACACUGGAACUGAGACACGGUCCAGACUCCUACGGGAGGCAGCAGUGGGGAAUUUUGGACAAUGGGCGCAAGCCUGAUCCAGCCAUUCCGCGUGCAGGAUGAAGGCCUUCGGUUGUAAACUGCUUUGUUACGGAACGAAACGGCGAGCUCUAAUACAGUUUGCUAAUGACGGUACCGUAAGAAUAAGCACCGGCUAACUACGUGCCAGCAGCCGCGGU